UCCUUAAAAUGCUUCAUACCUGAAUUGGUUUCAGUGCUAGUCCUUUGUCAGUAUGGAGGGAAAAAUAUUACCCUUAUUUGUUUGUUCUGGCAGCUGCUUAUUUAGAAGUUGUGCUUGUACUAUAGCAGUGAAUGUUAAGCUGGGGUUGAUGAUUAAAAGGGAGCUGUGGUUUGCUAUUAAAAUGCUACUUUAUCUUAAAAAUAUGAUCACCCAAUUUUAGUGUAGUGAGUUAUACUGGGAGAAAAAUUCAACUGCAUGCAUUUCUGUUUUGAUGAAAUGAAAAUUUAAUUGAUGUAAUUAUAUAUGCAGUAAUACUAUAUUCAAGUAAUUCCAGUGUUAUAUCUUUACAGUCUGUGUUUAAUCUUGUUCUGUUGAGUCUCUGUUCUUGAGAUGGCAUUGUGCCAAAAAUUUGCUUAUGCUUUUGAGAGGUUUGCCUAGCUUGCUGUAGGUUGCUGGAAGAAGUAGGGAUAAGGAAAGAAAGGAAGCUGCAGACAAUUCAAGAAUUUGCCCCUGGACAGCAAUGCACUAGCUAGCGCGCAGUGCACUAGCUUCAAACCAGUCUUGAAGGGGCCACAAGAGAUCUCGUGCUUACAUGACUUUAGUGUGGUCUACAAUGACUACAGGGAAGAAUAAGGGGGGAGUAGUUGAGCAGCUGCAGUUGUGGCUACCAGAAAGGACAGAAAAUUGAGCAGGGCAUUACCUUGACAAAACACAACAGUUUUCACCCAUUAAGUAUCUAAGUAAAGUGGUUCCUCAUCUUCGGAAACUUUAAUGGACUUGCUGGUGGGAAGACUUUCUUCAUCUAAAGCCAAAUAUUCACACUUGGGAUCUGGAUUCAAGCACUGAGCAUGUAGAAAUCCUGAUUUCCAGGAUGGUGAGUCCUGCAGAGGUGGUGGUGGCUUUUGAAAAAAUCUUUUGGAAAGGAUGGUGGCCGUGCUUCUUGUGGAAUAACUCCCUCUCCCCCACACCUUUCCUUGGGGCUGUUACUUCUCUGUACUGGUACACUAGGGCAUUCCUGAUGAGAAGGAGAGAUUGCUCUGGCAGAGGGCCCCUUGAUGCUGCUGCGUGAAUCAGCUGCCUUGACCAGACUUUUUUGCCCAGCAUGAAAUAGUUUCAUUUUAGAAUGGCAUUGCCCUGCAACUGGGAAUGAGAUGUCUGGGACUCUAUGAUGUGAAGUGCACAUAGGCAGUGAGUGUGACAAGUAUUCAGCAUUAUAUAGAAAAGUAAUCUCUCAAGUGUUGACAUUCACAAAAUAGUGAAUACAGCCAUUUACCUGUCAAAUUUCUUGUUCUUUAAAGCCCAUUCCAAGAGAGAACUUUUUUUUAACAGUAUUUUAAUAGUUUCUCAACACUUCAGCCCACUGCAAAUACAUGUUGAUGGUGGAAUUGGUCAAAGAUGCAUUGCAAUGGUUUUUUUGUUUGUUUUGUUUUGGAAGAAAUUUUUGUUUGUUUUUAGCUUUAGAGAAAUUAGGCAUUAUGCAGUUUUGGUGAAAUUGAAGUUUAUAAAAUUUCAACAAGCCCCUUGUUGAAGCUGAUGUCUAUUUUUGAUAUUAAUUUCACAUGUGAAGAGAUGUGAAAAGAAAAUGUUAAUAUUGAGAGUGUAGAUGUCAGAUCUAAAGAACAGUGAGAACGCUUUCCAUGAGUUUUCUUUGAAUAGUCCAGUCUGUAGUGUCUUGACACUGUACAGCUGGCUGGACAAAUGACACUUUGAAACAAUAUUUAAAAAGUGUUUAAAGGAAGUAUUAAAGCAUUUGCACAAUUUUAAUGUUUACAUCACUUACUAAACUAUUUCUAGUAAUCAUUCAGAUAAAGUUAAGGAAAAAACAAAAAUAGUUGUAAAAACGUGAAGUCAAAGUGUUAUCAGUGAUUGCUUGUAUUAUUUGAAGUAGAGAUAGGGAUAAGAUUGAACUGAAGGCUCCACUCUUCCCUCUAGUGAUCAUAAAAUUGUAUGAUUUCUUUUGGGUGGCUUACGGUUUGGGUAAAUUGGGGUGGGUUUAUGUUUACAGUACUGGAAUCCUGGACUCUAAUCCUUGCAAUCUGUGUCCCGGUUUAUUCAUCAAUAAAAUAUAUUUAUGACACAGAUUUUGUAGACCUCUGUCUUCAAUCAUAACAAAGUUGUUUGCGUAUACAAUUGGUCUUGCACUGAAGGUUGUCUACAUUCUUUUCAUAAAAUUGAAAAUAAUUACUAUGGUUUUCAGAGGAAGUGUGACACAGAUGUCCAAGUUAUGCUAUAGAAAGUUUCUCUAUUAUGGAGGAAGAUGUUAUAAGUUCAUAUUUUUAAAUAAUUAAUGUCCUUGCCAGAAAUGGAUAUGUAAAAAAAUUGUUGAAUGUUUUUCUGUGUUUUCUACUUUGCUAUCCCUAAAGAAUCUAACACAAUGAUUCUUUUUGAUGCAGCAACUACUUUAGUUUUGUUCCUUUAUUAGCUUUUAACAAAUAACAUGCUAAUCCUGACUUGGUACCUGCUUGAUUUGUUUUGAAUGGCAUGUUCUUUAACAAAUGCCAGAAUGCUCAUUUGUGCAGACUUGAUGGUAGAGCUUUAUAAUAGGUCUCAGAUGUGAGAUUCUGCAAAAAUGAUGUUCUUGAAUGUACAUCAGCUGAGAGCCCUUCAUUGCAAGUUUGGUUCCUACUCUUGGUUCCCAGUUGAAUUGCACCUGGAGCCGCAUGUUUGGACUGUCACAUUUGAUGAGACCUUAAAAAUAGACAACAAAGUAAUCUGACUUUUGGCUGUUCAUAAACUGUGGAGAAAGAAGUCUGAAUAAACUAUGUAUAGCCUGAAUCCAAA